UAGGGAAUCUUCCACAAUGGACGCAAGUCUGAUGGAGCAACGCCGCGUGAGUGAAGAAGGUUUUCGGAUCGUAAAGCUCUGUUGUUGGUGAAGAAGGAUAGAGGCAGUAACUGGUCUUUAUUUGACGGUAAUCAACCAGAAAGUCACGGCUAACUACGUGCCAGCAGCCGCGGUAAUACGUAGGUGGCAAGCGUUGUCCGGAUUUAUUGGGCGUAAAGCGAGCGCAGGCGGAAUGAUAAGUCUGAUGUGAAAGCCCACGGCUCAACCGUGGAACUGCAUCGGAAACUGUCAUUCUUGAGUGCAGAAGAGGAGGGUGGAAUUCCAUGUGUAGCGGUGGAAUGCGUAGAUAUAUGGAAGAACACCAGUGGCGAAGGCGGCUCUCUGGUCUGCAACUGACGCUGAGGCUCGAAAGCAUGGGUAGCGAACAGG
rnacentral:rRNA from 3 species